rnacentral:lncRNA from 1 species
GAAAACAAGUAAGUAUUGGAAUGUCUUGACAUCUUGUAGGGUGGAAACAAGUUCAUUGGUAACGUAGGACAUCAUACAAAACCAUUAUGGAUCACAUGUUAUUGAAUAACUUUGGAAACUUUCUUAAUAGAACAAUUGUUCACUUUCAUGCCAAAGAUAUGGUAUAGAGUAUGCUUUACAUACCUGACUGUCAACCUUCAAUACUAGUCCCAAAUGGACUUCUCGUCUUUUUGGAUUACUUAUCUACAAUGAACAUAUAUAGCAAUCUAGUAUUAGCGACCAAACGUCACAAUUCAAUUAUUUGAAUUCACCAAACUAGUGGUUAAGUAGUAAGCAUUAAUUACACCAUAAAGGGUGUCACUUUAACCCUCUUAUACUCCAAUUACAUUCACAUGCCAUGCAUAUUCAUAC